GACGAACGCUGGCGGCGUGCUUAACACAUGCAAGUCGAACGGUAAGGCUCCAGCUUGCUGGGGUACACGAGUGGCAAACGGGUGAGUAACACGUGGGUGACCUGCCCUGCACUUCGGGAUAAGCCUGGGAAACUGGGUCUAAUACCGGAUAGGACCGCACCGUGAGGGUGUGGUGGAAAGUUUUUUCGGUGUGGGAUGGGCCCGCGGCCUAUCAGCUUGUUGGUGGGGUAAUGGCCUACCAAGGCGGCGACGGGUAGCCGGCCUGAGAGGGUGGACGGCCACAUUGGGACUGAGACACGGCCCAGACUCCUACGGGAGGCAGCAGUGGGGAAUAUUGCACAAUGGGCGGAAGCCUGAUGCAGCGACGCCGCGUGGGGGAUGACGGCCUUCGGGUUGUAAACUCCUUUCACCAUCGACGAAGGGUUUCUGACGGUAGAUGGAGAAGAAGCACCGGCUAACUACGUG
rnacentral:rRNA from 1 species